AGAGUUUGAUCAUGGCUCAGGACGAACGCUGGCGGCGUGCUUAACACAUGCAAGUCGAGCGGUAAGGCCCUUUGGGGUACACGAGCGGCGAACGGGUGAGUAACACGUGGGUGACCUGCCCCCUACUCUGGGAUAAGCCUGGGAAACUGGGUCUAAUACCGGAUAUGACCUGCUGUCGCAUGAUGGUGGGUGGAAAGUUUUUUCGGUGGGGGAUGGGCCCGCGGCCUAUCAGCUUGUUGGUGGGGUGAUGGCCUACCAAGGCGACGACGGGUAGCCGGCCUGAGAGGGCGACCGGCCACACUGGGACUGAGAUACGGCCCAGACUCCUACGGGAGGCAGCAGUGGGGAAUAUUGCGCAAUGGGCGGAAGCCUGACGCAGCGACGCCGCGUGGGGGAUGACGGCCUUCGGGUUGUAAACCUCUUUCGGCCCCGACGAAGCGUGAGUGACGGUAGGGGUAGAAGAAGCACCGGCCAACUACGUGCCAGCAGCCGCGGUAACACGUAGGGUGCGAGCGUUGUCCGGAAUUAUUGGGCGUAAAGAGCUCGUAGGCGGUGUGUCGCGUCGGCCGUGAAAACCUGCAGCUUAACUGUGGGCUUGCGGUCGAUACGGGCAUCACUGGAGUUCGGCAGGGGAGACUGGAAUUCCUGGUGUAGCGGUGAAAUGCGCAGAUAUCAGGAGGAACACCGGUGGCGAAGGCGGGUCUCUGGGCCGAUACUGACGCUGAGGAGCGAAAGCGUGGGGAGCGAACAGGAUUAGAUACCCUAGUAGUCC
rnacentral:rRNA from 1 species